UACGUAGGGCGUAAGCGUUGUCCGGAAUUAUUGGGCGUAAAGAGCUCGUAGGCGGCUUGUCACGUCGGGUGUGAAAGCCCGGGGCUUAACCCCGGGUCUGCAUUCGAUACGGGCUAGCUAGAGUGUGGUAGGGGAGAUCGGAAUUCCUGGUGUAGCGGUGAAAUGCGCAGAUAUCAGGAGGAACACCGGUGGCGAAGGCGGAUCUCUGGGCCUUACCUGACGCUGAGGCGCGAAAGCUAGGGGAGCGAACAGG
rnacentral:rRNA from 1 species